rnacentral:rRNA from 1 species
CCUACGGGUGGCAGCAGUGGGGAAUAUUGCGCAAUGGGCGAAAGCCUGACGCAGCGACGCCGCGUGAGGGAUGAAGGUCUUCGGAUCGUAAACCUCUGUCAGCAGGGAAGAACGGUCACUGUGCUAAUCAGCAGUGAAUUGACGGUACCUGCACAGGAAGCACCGGCUAACUCCGUGCCAGCAGCCGCGGUAAUACGGAGGGGGCGAGCGUUUAUCGGAAUUACUGGGCGUAAAGCGCUCGUAGGCGGUUUGUCAAGUCAGGGGUGAAAUCCCCGCGCUCAACGUGGGAACUGCCUUUGAAACGGGCAGACUGGAGUGUGUGAGAGGAUAGUGGAAUUCCAGGUGUAGGAGUGAAAUCCGUAGAUAUCUGGAGGAACAUCAGUGGCGAAGGCGACUAUCUGGCACAUAACUGACGCUGAGGAGCGAAAGCGUGGGUAGCAAACAGGAUUAGAUACCCCAGUAGUC